rnacentral:rRNA from 1 species
UCCGUAGGUGAACCUGCGGAAGGAUCAUUAACGAGUUGGAACGUGGAAGGUUGAUGCUGGUGCAUAUAUAUUGUGUACAUGUGCUCGCCUCCACUCUCUUCAUCCACUCAACCCCUGUGCACUUUAUCAGAGUUAGUAGUUGUAUUGUGUGGUGGCCAUUCGUUAUAUUCAUUGUUAGAGGGAGGCGGGGUCACCGCCGUUUCUGACAGUUGUAAUAAUAAUCUUGGUACUACUACUGCUACUAUGAACACUUUGACUUUAUUUAUACAAACACUUUGCUUGUUCUUGUGAAUGUGUCAUGCUCCUUGUGAGCAAAAUACAAAUAAUACAACUUUCAACAACGGAUCUCUUGGCUCUCGCAUCGAUGAAGAACGCAGCGAAAUGCGAUAAGUAAUGUGAAUUGCAGAAUUCAGUGAAUCAUCGAAUCUUUGAACGCACCUUGCGCCCCUUGGUAUUCCGAGGGGCAUGCCUGUUGAGUGUCAUGUAAUUCUCAAUCCUCUUCUUCUUCUGAAGGGCUUGGACCUGGAGGUAUGCUGGUACUGUCUGUAUCGGCUCCUCUCAAUGCAUUAGCUGGACUGUAGUUCGCGUGUUUGGUGUAAUAGUCUUCUAUCUAUAUUCACUACAGCGCUUACUUAGACUGUCUGCUUCCAACCGUCCGCCUAUGUGCUGGACAGGUACUCUGUGACCUUUGACCCCUUUGACCUCAAAUCAGGUAGGACUACCCGCUGAACUUAAGCAUAUCAAUAAGCGGAGGAA